rnacentral:rRNA from 1 species
AUGUGGGAGUCUCUCGCACAACCAAAGAUUAAAGGAGGGAUAGGCUUCCGAGAUUUACAGAUGUUCAACUUAGCACUCCUUGGUAAACAUGGAUGGAGGCUAAUGACAGAACCCAACUCCUUGUGUGCUCGAGUAUUAAAAGGAAGAUACUCCCCCAACUGUGAUUUUAUGCAUGCCGGUGCACCCAAAAGCGCGUCGGCGACAUGGCGGGCAAUCAUAGCAGGG